UUCAGUGUGUGAACCAAGCUGACCUGGAUCCUGCAGCAGUCUCCUACCUCUGCAUGCCUCGGGAAUGCUGGCAUAAUAGGCACGUGAUAUCAUACUUGGACUUAGUUAUUUGUUUUUCGGUCCUUGUUUGUUUGAGACCCAGUCUUGCAUAGUUUUGGCUAGCCUCAAACUCUCGAUCUUUCUGCUUUAUCCUCCUGGAACUACUUAUGUCCCGGCCCUGCUCAGCCUCAUCAUAGAAGCCUUUUCCUGCAAGGAAUAAAUACAGGAACCCACAGCCAGACAAUAUGCACAGCACGAGAGACCUCUGAACAUCGAGCCUGAAAUGGGAUGUUUCCAUCAAACCCACCCCCUCGGGCCACAGAAGGCCACAGAAGAGGAGGCAGGAAGAAUGUAAGAGUCAAAGAGGAUAGAGGAUACCUUUAAACACAGUGCCACCGAAGCACAUGUGAACUCACAUAGACUGAAGCAACAUGCACAGGGCCUGCGUGGUGAUUUGCACCAGAUGAGACCUGCGUGAUGAUGUGCACCAGAUGAGACCCUAGAACUGAAGGGAGGAGUGGACACCUGCCCCCAUCCCGAACCCAGAAGAAUCCCCGACUGAUUACCACUUGCAGAUGAAAAAUUAGUUGUCUCUAGGACAGUCUCACUGAGGAAAUAAACUACUUUAAGGGUAAUGUGAGACCAAAACAGGAAAAAUAUACCUCGCAGGUGAAGAGUUCUGUGUAGUUUUAAAAAUAAAUCCCUGUUUGUCCUA